rnacentral:misc_RNA from 1 species
UAAACAGUGUCAUCUGUAGUGCACCAGAGCCAGGAGCCAUCAGCACCUUUACCUUUGCCCUUCAAAAUGUCAGAUAUUUUUGUGCUUUCAAAACCAUGUUCUUCUAUACGAGCAGUUAAAGUUGUUUCCUGGCGCACAAACAUAAGCUGCCUCCAUCCCGACCCCAAUCGGACAUGUCGUAAAACAGCACUUUUCAACACACUUCCAUGAGACAGCAUUUGCUUCAAUCCUCCUUGCAUUUUUGCCUAGAAAUAUAUAAACUUUAAUCAUAGGUCCAAUAGAUCCCUAGCUAGCUACUAAUAAAAUAAAGA